rnacentral:rRNA from 1 species
GUCCACGCCGUAAACGAUGAGUGCUAGCUGCUGGGAAUGUUUACCGUCUCAGUGGCGAAGCUAACGCAUUAAGCACUCCGCCUGGGAAGUACGGCCGCAAGGCUAAAACUCAAAGGAAUUGACGGGGGCCCGCACAAGCGGUGGAGCAUGUGGUUCAAUUCGAAGCAACGCGCAGAACCUUACCCAGGCUUGACAUCUCGGGAAUCCCACGGAAACGUGGGGGUGCCUUCUCACGAAGGAGCCCGAUGACAGGUGCUGCAUGGCUGUCGU